rnacentral:rRNA from 1 species
GGCCCGCACAAGCGGUGGAGCAUGUGGUUUAAUUCGAUGCAACGCGAAGAACCUUACCUGGUCUUGACAUCCACGGAAGUUUUCAGAGAUGAGAAUGUGCCUUCGGGAACCGUGAGACAGGUGCUGCAUGGCUGUCGUCAGCUCGUGUUGUGAAAUGUUGGGUUAAGUCCCGCAACGAGCGCAACCCUUAUCCUUUGUUGCCAGCGGUCCGGCCGGGAACUCAAAGGAGACUGCCAGUGAUAAACUGGAGGAAGGUGGGGAUGACGUCAAGUCAUCAUGGCCCUUACGACCAGGGCUACACACGUGCUACAAUGGCGCAUACAAAGAGAAGCGACCUCGCGAGAGCAAGCGGACCUCAUAAAGUGCGUCGUAGUCCGGAUUGGAGUCUGCAACUCGACUCCAUGAAGUCGGAAUCGCUAGUAAUCGUGGAUCAGAAUGCCACGGUGAAUACGUUCCCGGGCCUUGUACACACCGCCCGUCACACCAUGGGAGUGGGUUGCAAAAGAAGUAGGUAGCUUAACCUUCGGGAGGGCGCUUACCACUUUGUGAUUCAUGACUGGGGUGAAGUCGUAACAAGGUAACCGUAGGGGAACCUGCGGUUGGAUCAC